rnacentral:tRNA from 1 species
GUAAAUAUAGUUUACCCAAAACACUAGACGGUGACUCUAGAAACAGAAGCCCCAACUUCUUAUUUACC